rnacentral:rRNA from 1 species
GACGAACGCUGGCGGCGCGCCUAACACAUGCAAGUCGAACGAGCGAGAGAGAGCUUGCUUUCUCGAGCGAGUGGCGAACGGGUGAGUAACGCGUGAGGAACCUGCCUCAAAGAGGGGGACAACAGUUGGAAACGACUGCUAAUACCGCAUAAGCCCACGACCCGGCAUCGGGUUGAGGGAAAAGGAGCAAUCCGCUUUGAGAUGGCCUCGCGUCCGAUUAGCUAGUUGGUGAGGUAAUGGCCCACCAAGGCGACGAUUGGUAGCCGGACUGAGAGGUUGAACGGCCACAUUGGGACUGAGACACGGCCCAGACUCCUACGGGAGGCAGCAGUGGGGGAUAUUGCACAAUGGGGGAAACCCUGAUGCAGCGACGCCGCGUGGAGGAAGAAGGUUUUCGGAUCGUAAACUCCUGUCGUUAGGGACGAUAAUGACGGUACCUAACAGAAAGCACCGGCUAACUACGUG